CAUGUACACAUGUAUGUACAUACGUACAUACGACUAAAAAAAAUUCACAUCACAUUCAAAAACACAAAAGCUGGAACAGAAUUCGAAAACAGAAGUUAAUUUUUUUUGCACUUAAAGCUUGGAAUCAUCUGUUGAAAGCCUGAAACACAAAAUCAAAGUGGCAAUUAUACGAAUACGUAUGUACACUAUUUAUUUUGCGAAAAGUGAUGAUACACAUAUUGAAAUACAUAUAAGACAAUACACAAUUGUACAUUCAUGUUCAUAAUUUACACAUAUGUAUGUAUAUAUAUUUGUACAUAUAUAGAAGUAUGUAAAUAAAACCAGGCUGUUAUAAAUCCAAAGUAGUGUGGAACGUGAAUCCGUGGCGUAAGCUCUCGACCGCUAUUGAUAUUUACUCAUGUUUGAAAAAGAAGCGCGGUAGUGGUUUUCAUAUUCCUUGUUUGAUGUGCACGUCCAAAUGACGUUUUUAGAAAUGCGUACAUAAUCACAGUAGUGUUUGUCGAAGAAAUUUAUCUAUGUACUUAUUACCAGUCACCCAUGAAUCACCCGUGCGUCCCCCUGAUCACCCGUGAAUCAGCCCUGAAAUCUAGAACCAGCUGCCAUGAAUUAUGUAAUGAAUAAUUUGAAAAUGUCCUCUCGGCCCCGGAUUCGAUUUUAGACAUGAAUCAGCCCUGAUUCCGAAUCUGGAUUCAGGAGUGAAAAUUGUUUCGAAAUUAGCUCUGAGUCAGACCUGAAUUUCAGAGCUGGAUCAGCCCAAAAAAAAAUCAUGAUUCCGCGCUGAAAAUCGAGGCUAAAUAGGACCGCAUUCAUGACCCAAAA